rnacentral:rRNA from 1 species
UACAGAGGGUGCGAGCGUUGUUCGGAAUUACUGGGCGUAAAGCGCGUGUAGGCUGCUUCGCAAGUCGGAUGUGAAAGCCCUGGGCUCAACCCAGGAAGUGCAUUCGAAACUGCAGAGCUGGAGUCCUGGAGAGGAAGGCGGAAUUCUCGGUGUAGAGGUGAAAUUCGUAGAUAUCGAGAGGAACACCGGUGGCGAAGGCGGCCUUCUGGACAGUGACUGACGCUGAGACGCGAAAGCGUGGGGAGCAAACAGG